CCUGACAAGGAAGACAAAGCUAAAAGGUUUGAGCAGAAUAAUACUGCUUUCUUGGGUAAGCGGAGAAGAAAAGAUGUCACUUAUGUUGAUACUUUAAGUGAUUUACAAUGGAUGAAGGCUGUAGAAAGUGGACAAGACAUGCCAAAGCUGUCAAAUAAAGGAAGGAGAUGGGAACAUCUUCCAUCUGAGGGCAAUGAAUUAGCUAGUAAUAGUACUGGAACAGAAAAAAAGGCUCAGGAACUGAAGAAUGAUGUCAUGCCUACAGCAAGUGAGGGAACGAGUGAUGAUACUUUUGGUUCAACCCCAAAGAGAUUCAAGCCUGAUGGAGGGAUUCAUGGAAAACUUGAAUAUCACGGGGUAGAAAAGUCUGAACAUCAAGGAACCAGAGAAAAUAGUUGGAGUGGGCAUGUAUUUACAUGGAAUACCCAUAAGA
rnacentral:misc_RNA from 1 species